rnacentral:lncRNA from 1 species
UUUUUUUUUUAAGAAUGGUCAACUCUAUCAUUCACAGCCUCAAAUUAAUAGGAGAGUCAUUAGCUUGCAUGAGGGCGAUGGGAGACAAUGGAAGACAGUACCCUUCCAUCAUUCACAGCCGCAAUGCCAACCAACUGUGAACAGGGCAUUGCUAAUACUAAAUAUAUAUAUAUAUAUAUAUAUAUGGCCAGCUGCAUCAGCUCGAGAUCUAAGAGCUACAAAGCCCUUUGGCUCUGUUAAACCUUUGCUGCUUCACCUCUUCU